CCUACGGGUGGCUGCAGUGGGGAAUAUUGCACAAUGGGCGCAAGCCUGAUGCAGCCAUGCCGCGUGUGUGAAGAAGGCCUUCGGGUUGUAAAGCACUUUCAGCGGGGAGGAAGGCGGUGAGGUUAAUAACCUCAUCGAUUGACGUUACCCGCAGAAGAAGCACCGGCUAACACCGUGCCAGCAGCCGCGGUAAUACGGAGGGUGCAAGCGUUAAUCGGAAUUACUGGGCGUAAAGCGCACGCAGGCGGUCUGUCAAGUCGGAUGUGAAAUCCCCGGGCUCAACCUGGGAACUGCAUUCGAAACUGGCAGGCUAGAGUCUUGUAGAGGGGGGUAGAAUUCCAGGUGUAGCGGUGAAAUGCGUAGAGAUCUGGAGGAAUACCGGUGGCGAAGGCGACUCUUUGGUCUGUAACUGACGCUGAGGCGCGAAAGCGUGGGGAGCAAACAGGAUUAGAUACCCUAGUAGUC
rnacentral:rRNA from 1 species